CGUAGGUGGCAAGCGUUGUCCGGAAUUAUUGGGCGUAAAGCGCGCGCAGGCGGUUCCUUAAGUCUGAUGUGAAAGCCCCGGGCUCAACCGGGGAAGGUCAUUGGAAACUGGGGAACUUGAGUGCAGAAGAGAAGAGCGGAAUUCCACGUGUAGCGGUGAAAUGCGUAGAGAUGUGGAGGAACACCAGUGGCGAAGGCGGCUCUUUGGUCUGUAACUGACGCUGAGGCGCGAAAGCGUGGGGAGCAAACAGGAUUAGAUACCCUGGUAGUCCACGCCGUAAACGAUGAGUGCUAAGUGUUAGAGGGUUUCCGCCCGUUUAGUGCUGCAGCUAACGCAUUAAGCACUCCGCCUGGGGAGUACGGCCGCAAGGCUG
rnacentral:rRNA from 1 species